rnacentral:rRNA from 1 species
GACGAACGCUGGCGGCGUGCUUAACACAUGCAAGUCGAACGGAAAGGCCCUUCGGGGUACUCGAGUGGCGAACGGGUGAGUAACACGUGGGUGAUCUGCCCUGCACUUUGGGAUAAGCCUGGGAAACUGGGUCUAAUAGCGGCUAGGACCACUCGCUUCACGGUGUGUGGCGGGAAGCUUUUGCGGUGUGGGAUGGGCCCGCGGCCUAUCAGUUUGUUGGUGGGGUAAUGGCCUACCAAGGCGACGACGGGUAGCCGGCCUGAGAGCGUGACCGGCCACACUGGGACUGAGAUACGGCCCAGACUCCUACGGGAGGCAACAGUGGGGAAUAUUGCACAAUGGGCGCAAGCCUGAUGCAGCGACGCCGCGUGAGGGAUGACGGCCUUCGGGUUGUAAACCUCUUUCGCCAGGGACGAAGCGCAAGUGACGGUACCUGGAGAAGAAGGACCGGCCAACUACGUGCCAGCAGCCGCCGUAAAAC